UAGUUUUUGUUUUGUUUGGGUUUUUUGGUAGAAACAAACAGUGUCACUGUGUUAUCCAGGGUGGUCUCAAACCCCUGGCCUCUAGCAUUUCUUCUACCUUAGCCUUCCAGAACUCUGGGACUGCAAGCGUGAGCCACCGCACCCAGCCAGCAACUCCUGAGUUUUAAAUUAUGCACUAUUCUGAAUAACAUGGUGAAAUCUCCCACCUCUCCACCCAGGGCAUUAAUUAUCCCUUUUUGCAGUAUAUCCACGUUGUCUAGACUACCCACCACUUUCAGUCUAUUGGUUAUCAGAUCGACUGUUGUAGUAUCAAUGCUUGUGUUCAGUUAACCUUUAUUUUACUUAAUGGCCCUAAAGCACAAGAGCAGUGAUGGAAAUUCAAGUAUGCCAGAGAAGCCGGAAAGUGCUUCCUUUAAGUGAAAAGGUGAAAGUUCCUGACUUAAUAUGGAAAGAAUUAAAAAAUCAUAUGUUGAAGUUGCUAAAAUCUAUGGUAAGAAUGAAUCUUUUGUCCAUGAAAUUGUGAAGGAAAAAUAAAUCAUGCAUAGUAUAUACAGGGUUCAGGACUAUCUGCAAUUUUAGACAUCUGUGGGAGGUCUUGGAACUUAUUCCCCAUGGAUAAGUGGGGAAUACUGUAUAGUCUAUAUAAAAGGCCCAUUUCUGAUAUGUAUUUUAUGAUUUUCUCUAAGUCUGUGGCUUUUUCAUUUUCUUAUCUUCUGAUGAGCAGAAAUUAUUAAUUUUUUGAGGUCUAUUUUAUUUUUUCUUUUAUAGUUUUUUUAAUGUCCUUUUAUAUCUAUCUUUGCCUAGCCCAGAGCCACAGGUAUGUUUUCUUCCAAUAGUAAAAUACAGGUUUAACUUUUAUGUGUAAAUCUGUGAUCCACUACCAAUAAAUGUUUAUGAUGUUGUUAGACAGUGGAUGUCAUUGAUUUUCUAAAUCGUUUUACUUAUUUGUUAGAGAGACUUCCUUUCCCCAUUGAAUUGCUUUUGCACUUUGGUUGAAAGUCAAUCUGCGUGUGAUCCUUGUUUCUGGACUCUCCAUUCUGUUCUAUUAAUUUGUUUUGUCCUUUUGCCAAAACCACACUGUUAAUGGUUACUGCAGCUUCAAAUCAGAUGCUGUGAUUCCCACAACUUUUUCAUUAGGUCGCUUUGACUAUUUUAUUUGUAUAUAAAUAUUAGAGUCAGUUAAUUUCUACAAACAAAAAAAGGAGGCAAAGCCUGCAGAGAUUUUGAUUUGGGUUGCUUUGAUUGGGGUAAGUCAAUUUGGGGGGAAUUCACAUUUUAACAAUAUGGAUCCUUCCAUAUUGGCCAAGCUGGUCUCAAACUACUGGCCUCACGAUCUGCCUGCCUUGGCCUCCCAAGUGCUGGGAUUACAGGCGUGAGCCACCAUGCCCGGCCUUUUCUGUAUUUUUUAUAGUUGUUUUCACAGUCAUUUUCAUGGUCAUUGUGGGAAUCACAUUAUAGAUAAUGUGAUUUACCACCAUUCGCUGCCAUCAACACCAUCAUCUGGAAUGAGAUGUGGAAACCUUGCUUUCUGUUAAGGUCUCUUUCCCCGCUUUUAAAUAGUAUUGUUCUGAGGAUUAAUGCUGUUAUAGUUUUUGUAUCAGUUAUCCAGUAGACUUACAGAACUUACGAAGAGAGUGAUCCUCUGUUGUAUAUAGCCAUGUUUCUGCUAUUUCCACUAUUUUUUCCAAGAUUCCAUCUUUUAUUACUUCCAUUAGCCAGUUCUCAAAGGCAGCUCUGCUAAUGAGAAAUUCUUUUUAUUUUUCUCCUUUUGAAAAUGACUUUAUUUUCCCUUUAUUCCUGAAGAAUAGUUUUAUUUAUGCUCUUUGGAGUUCACUCAGCUUCUCGAAGCUGUAAGUCUGUCUCUUUUGCCAAACAUGGAAAAUUUGUUCAACCAUUAUUUCUUCAGAUGUUCCUUCAGCGUCAUUCUUGUCUCCAUUCUAGGCCUCUGGAGAUACAAAUGUUGAAUCAUUUGUUAUUGUUCCACAUGUACCUGAGGCACAGUUCAUUUUUCACUCUACUUUCUCUCUUUUGUUCAGAUUUCUAUCCUUUGUCAUCUUCACUCUACUGUUGAGCCCAUCUAAUGAUUAUUUUUCGCUUAUUGUAUUUUUUAGGUCUAUAAUUUCCAUUUGCUUUUCUUUCCUUAUAACUUCUGUUUCUUUGCUGAGAUUUUCUAUUGUUUCGUUUUUGAAACAGCAGAACUUAUAAUUGCUUGUCAAAUCAUUUCUAUGAUGGCUGCAUUAAGAUGCUUGUCAGAUAAUUUCAACAUCUUACUCAUCCCAGUGUUGGCGUUGAUUUUCUUUCCUUCAUGUGAUUUUCCUGGUUCUUGGUAUGACAGAUAAUUUUUGGAUUGUAUCUCAGGCAUUUUAGUUAUUACAUUAGGAGACUGUCCUUUUAAAAAUUUUUUUUACUUCAGUGGUAACCUGUUUAGGUUUAGCAUGUAGGUGCUAGCAUAUGUUUGUGGGCUGUGGUUCCAAUGACCAUUUUUCAGAGCCUUUGUGGUGCUGUUUUGGUUUGUUGCUUUUAUCUUACUCUGCUGGGGCUCACACUGGUUCCUAGUGGUCCUGCUUGAGGGGGCUCCUCCAGGCUGAUCUGCGCAGAGUGUGUUUGGGUGGGGGAAGAGGGACCCCCAGAGUGCUUCCUGAGCCUUGUGCCUCUCGUGGCAGGCUCUCCCAUGCCUGGUGUUUCUGGCAGUGCUCCCGCCCGCUCUGUGCCCCUGGGCUGUAGAUCACUUGCAGGAAAAGUGAACACUGCCAGACCAAUUAAUUAUAGGAGGAUUCCUCCUGCCAGUGCUCAGCAGCACUGUGUCUCUGGAGCAGCAAGGAGAGUCUCAGGCACAGCUUCAUUUCUUUUUUAAGAUUUUUCUUCUGUCUUCAGUGUCUAUGGUACUAUUGUUCUGCUUUAUUCACUUUUCUAUUUCUUCUAGUUUAGUUUUAGUUUCUUUGCAUUUGAAGUGAUUUUUUUUCCUUGCAUUUCUAAUUACUCCUUAGUUGUGUCAUGUCUUGUCUUCAGUUACCCUUAUUCUGAAAUUUCCCAUUUCUAAUUGUUAUUUUUAAAAUUCUUUUUAGGUCAAUUUGAAAUUUGUGUACAGUUUUUAUCUAUUUGCAUAUAGUUUGGUGUACUUUAUAGGGACAUCAUUCUCAUGUACAUGCACAUAUUCUUUCUCUAAUAAUUACACUGUUGGACUCUGUUUUGUUGCUUAUUUUUUUUUUUUUUUUUGUGAGUGAAAUGAGUUUCCCAUAGUGGCAUGAGGGGGAGAUGGGCUAAGAUAACUUUUCUUGGUUUUUGGGGAAGGGGAGAAGUCUGUGUUUUGGUAAAAUGGUCAAAAAUAUGCCCUUGCUCUUUCUGAAACUUCCUCCUUCCCCACAUAUAUUUGCACUUUUUUUGUUCUUUAUUAUGUUUGAUCUGUUCCAUUUGGAAGUUAUUCCUGGAAGUUUCUCCUUGGUACAAGGUUUGUUUUACAGGGGAUUUAGCGUUCAGGAGUUUUAAGGGCCCAGAGCUUUACCGCAUCAUGAUCCCUUUGUAAUGAUCUGCAGGUUAGAUCCUGUAGAACUUUUUAAAACUUUAAGCUAUUGCUUUCUAGUGGGUUGGCAGUUUGAAGGUUUUCCUGUUCUCGGGGCUAUAAGACACCAGGCAGUUACCUUCCAUGUGCUCUUGUAGUUAGUUGUCAGAACUUUGUUUCUGUCCACUUAUUUGCAGUGGUUCAUGGUUUUGUUGUAGAUAAUGUCUCUGGGUCUUUGAUUUUCCCAUUUAGUUUGCUCCUUUUGUAGGUGAGAUUGGGAGGAAAUAAAAGCAAAAACAAAACAACUGUAUGUCACUGCCAUCAUCGUCUCAGAACCUGUUAGCUUGCCCUUCACCUGAUUUUUGUAUUUAUCAGUAUCAUUACCUGAAUGUAUGAUCUCAUUGGGGAUUGCAAAAUGGCUGUCUGGGGGGAAAAUUUUUCCAUCUGUUUGUCCAACAUCUAUACCUGGCACUCUUUUUUCUCAUCAGUGGGUGCCAUUUGAUUACCUUGAAAAAGUUCUACUGAAAAGGCCUAAAAUAUAUUUUAAGAUUUUUAGAAUUAGGAGUUAAUGUAAUAAUUUUAAUGGUGACAAUUUAAUUUUGUUUUUCAGUUGUUUUUUCCUGCAUUUUUGAAUAUUAUGAACUCAUAAAUGUUUUUAUAUUUAAUACGUUUCUCAGUCAUUACUCUAAAUGAGAUUCAAAUUGCGUAGACUUGGUGUGCUUUUAAAAUGUCCCUAUUAGAGGGCUGGGCGUGGUGGCUCACGCCUGUAAUCCAAGCACUUUGGAGGCCAAGGCGGGCGGAUCACCUGAGGUUGGGAGUUCAAGACCAGCCUGACCAACAUGGUGAAACCCCGUCUUAAAAAUAAAAAUAAAAAGACCCUAUUAGAUUUUUAAAUUUCUACUUAAUCUCGAACAUUUAUUCUCAGUCCUGGAAUAAAUUAUUUUCCCAAUGAAUUGUUGGAGAAUGGCAUUUAAGAGUCAGAUUUUAGAUGCAAAAUUUAGCCUUUGCUUUAUGAAUGUUAGUACUUGUAGGCUUCAUCAGGACGGAACUAGGAAAAGUAUCUUUCUAGUAUAUCCUGAGAAUCACCCACAUCACCGCACAGGCGUUUUCCAUUGUGUUUUGUAUGACUGAAUACUGCCACGUUGUGUGGAUGCAGCAUAGCUUAACAGUAUUGAUGGGCAUCGAGGCUAUUUUUAACCUUUUGCUAUUAGUACUAAUGUCACAGUGAAUCCUCUUACGUUCAGGCAUUAUUCCUUACAUAUGUAAGGUAUCAUUAAGAGAAACUAUUAGAAGCAGGAUUGUUGCAACAAAUGGUAGAUGCAUGUAUAAUUUUGCAAGAUCCUGCCAAAUUCUCCUUCACAGAAAAGUAACAUUUUGCAUUCCCCCCAGCAGUUUACAACAGUAGCUCUUUUCUUAAAACUUUCCAAACAGAAUGUGUUGUUAAAUGUGGAUAUUUACUUAUUUGCCAGUUGGGAAAUGAUAUUUUACUGUACUUAACAAUUUUUGAGUUUACCUCAGUUAUGGAUGAGGAUGAGCAUUUUUUCUUGUACUUAAGAGCUGUUUAUAGUUUUAUAACGUCUUUUGCUCAUUUUGCUGCUCAGUUGGUCAUUUUAUUUUUAGAAACUUUAUAUGUUAAGGAGAUUAGCCCUUUAACUACAGUAAAUUUGCAACUAUUUUUUCCCAGUUUGUCAUUUGUCUUUUAACCUUAUGUUUAUGUAGUUAGCUGUUAAUCUUUUUCGUUAUUCUGCUUUGAUAUGCAUUUCUUUAGUUAUGUUUCUUUUAUUCAUUUUCUUGGUUUUUAAUUUUCUAGACUCUAUAUCCUCAGUAGAAAUUUUAGUCAUAUUGCUGCUUCUUUGGUUACCUUAUAAUAAAAUUAGCCUUUAUUUCCAAAAUUAUUACUUUGCAUAUUUCUUAUUUUUUAGUAUUCUUAUUUCUAUUUCAGAUGUGCUCAUUUCUCUCUGAAUUUGUAUUUCUCAUCACUGGUGCUCUUUUUUGCCUGCUGCUGCAUUCUCCCUUUGUGUUGGAAUUUGGUGUUAUGGGUUUCCCGUUGUUUAUGACUGAAUUUUUCUGGUGUACUUUCUUUCGUCCUCCAGAAAGUUUUCCUUCUCAUUCGCCAGACUUUCUCCAUAAUAUAUUUAUUUGGACUCUGUAAUCCUGUUUUUGUUUGUUGUUUCUAUAAUAGAUGUUAGUUUUUUCUGGACCUGUCAUUACUAGACCUCAUGGUGGAGCAGGGAGGAAUUUGCAUGGCUUUAGGAGUCUUGGUUGAAGGGAACCGUCUUCUGUUGCUUUAGUAAGUGCAGAAUCACCACUUUCUGAUUUUUCAGCUCCAUUUAGAUUAAGACUCUUUUUCAUUAGGUGCUUCCAUCCCUUUAUGACCCUUAAGGGACACUUGAGCUUUCCAAGGUACCACCUUCCUUUCAUGCAUGGUGCCUUCCUGAGACUGCCAUUGCUGGACCCAAGUACUUUUCUAUAGUCCUUCCUUUAACCACCCUGUUGCCAGUCCCCUCUGGCCUCUGCAAUGUUCUGUUGAGCGGCAGGUGGUGGGGAGUCCAGCCUUCCUGGGUGAUCCCUAAUAAGUAUGAAUCUGUACACGCCACUCUCCAUGUAGCUCCUGCUGGACCCUGCUCAUUCCCCACUUCUGUGACAUUUGGAAUCUAUUCCUCUGUCUCCUGGUUUUACUCUACACAUAUGUCAUAGGUGUUUUUAUUUCUCCCCUUUGUGAUCUGGAUAGAUUUUGAGAGAUGUGAGUAGGAUGUGAUCAACACAGCCACCACUUUUAUGUAGAAACCUGGAAGCUUCAUUUGUUCUUCAGCUUUCUAAAUGAAUGCAUUCUUAUUUAAUUCAAAAUGUUAAUAUAACACUUAACAGGAAGAGAAGAAUUUUGUUCCCUAAUUGUUUUCAUUGUAUAAAAUUUUUAAAGGUUUUGCUUAAAAGACCAAAGCAGCUCCAUAAUGAUACAGCCAGACUGGUCACUGCUCAUCUGCCAUUUCCUACAGGGUCUGUCUCCACUCUUCGGUGGUGCUCUUUGAUCUGCCUCCUGAGGUGUAGCUGGUUCAGUUAAGUUUCAGAGCCCUCCUGCAGUGUGAGGAGACUUUGUUACCACCCACUGCAGGGCAGCUUUUCUGCUCUGUUGGAGGGCUCCUUGCUAUAGCAGACUUGUUUCUUCUUGCCAGCCACCCCAAAAGGAAUGUCAUGAACUGGGGUCUGAUUCCUUUCCUCCUCAACUGGGAAGAUGCUCCUGCAAGUUUCAUGUCCAGUUUUCUGUUCUUGUGUAUUUCUUUUUUGUUUUCUCUUGCUGACUGGUAGAUUCAUAGAGGGGCAGGGAACAGAAGUGGCAAGAGACCGGAGAAAGCCAAGAAUUCUAAUAAAGGUUUUAAUUUAUUUCAGAUUAAUGGUGUUGCAGCAACAAAAAUGCCAGCAU